UUAUUGUUUUAUAUUCUUUUUUUUUUUUUUUUCUUUUUAAUUCUUCCUUUCGUGGUUUGGAUUCUAGUGACGUGGGCCAGCUGUUGCAAAAACGAGACUCUACUCCCUCCCUCUUGUAACUUAAUCGUUUAUGGAGAACCCACAUUCACCAGAAAAUCGGUUAAUUAGUAAGAGCGACCUCGUUUUUUUUAUUCGUUCUUACCUUCUUAGGAAAAUUUGUUUAAUUAAUGAAUGCAUUUUCCAUUAACUCUCGUUUAAUUAAGAAUCAAAAGUAAUAUUCUUUCAGUGUUGGUUUGGAAGGGAAAAAUUAACUUGGCCAACUGUUUCUCGAUUAAAAAUUCGGAUAUUUUACUCGGUCUAAUUCAGUUAUCAAGCGUGUUUUAUGUCAGGAACAAUCCUCUAAUGAAUAAACUUCACCCUCACUGACGUGCUGGAAGGUCAGCUCCUAAAUCUGGUUACCAACUUCUAAGAAUCACGUUUUCGCUACCGCAAUGGGGAUCGUCCCAUCUGCUACCAUGGUGAAGCUCACGAUUUAACCAAUUAACUAUUGUUAAGUUCCUGUAGAUGUUCGCUCAUAAAUUUCAUAACGAUUAAGAAUACAUCUACUUUACGCUAUGUGUAUGAAUAACAUUUUUACUGUUGACACGACGCAGCCGUUAUACCGUAACUAGAAAUAACUUAUAAAUAGUUUAAACUACUAAAAAUGCUAUUAUUAAAUAGAUAGCGAUACGAAAACAUUUAAUAGUUAAAGAACUUUUGGUUUUGGAGUAAACAGUGCAGUUUCAAUAAAAAAAGUUGCAGCGACGAAAGGUAAAAUGGAUCGCGUUAUUUCCUUUAGUAUAAUAAAUAUCAACCGUUUUUACGAAGGGAAGAGAAGGAAAAAAAAUUUAUGUUUUCUACUUGAAAUUCUCCAGUACAUGAGAAACUCGUUAGCAACCCCAUAUUCUCCCAAAUCCCUAAAUUCCUGUUUAAAGAUUCUCCUCAUCCAUAAAGCAAUUCGAAGAUCUCAUAUCCGGGAUAAAUCUAUAGAAAGGCAAAGUUAGAUGAGGAGAAGCGUGACGAGAUGACAGGGUUUGGCGAUUUCAUAGGGAAUCAACCCUAUGUUUUUUGAAGGGACAUCUCACAUUCCAUCCCUUCUCUCUAGCAACUAAAGGUAUUUUGUAUGGUGGGAGUUAUUGCAGCCCGGGGCAAAAGCAAUAACCUUGUAUUCUCAUAUUGAGUUGGAAAGAGGAGACGUUUUUCAGAUUACUGCUCUUUGGACCGGGUUGUUUUCGUUUCUCCAUUUUGGAGUUGGAACAAAAUAGCCCAAGUUACUAGUUCCUGCUCUGGAUUACUAGAUGUCAGAACUCUGGUUUAAGUUUCAAAAUAAACAGAACGGGCAAUUUAUAAGAGAGUACUUUGCCCUUCCACCGUAUGGAAGAAACACAAGAAAUUUAUGGAAUUUGACAAAAUUAAAACUUUGUUAGGAAGUUAGCCGGGGAGAGUUUCAUUUCGUUUCAAUGAGAUGAAUUGAACUCGAAGCCAACAGAUUGAUAAGGUCAAAAAAUCAUUAAAUAUAAUAAUGUUCAGAAAUUUUGUAAUUCUUUAAAGAUUUAUCAUCUAAGUCGCGUUAAAUUUCUAUCGAAAAUUUUUAAAGCGCGCAUUUACAUAGCAGACAAACAAUAACGGUAAAGGAAAAAGGUUUUACACCAUUCUCAGUUAUGUUACUGCGACAGUAUGUUGUCAUAGUCAUACAACUUUCACGACACUUAUCAUCUAGACAAGAUGGUGCGUGUGUAGCUUCUUUCCAGCAGAAGAGCAAUUUCGACUGGCCCAACUUUGCUACAACUAUAGCCAAAAUCUGUUACCAUGCUGAGAAAUAUUUCAUUUUUAUGCCGAUAAUAAUCAUCUCGCAAUUUAAUUCGUUUAAGUUUUAUUUUACAUAAAUUUUUGAGGGGAGUUUUAUUCGAAGUAAAUCUUUUAACAAGAUAUGGUUACUCUAGCUUAAUAUUUUUCGAGAAAUAAUUGGCUUUCGAUAGAAUUUUCUGAAAAUGUAAAAAAUAAUUGCCAUCUAAUUACUAUUAAUUUAUAUCAGUCGUACCCAAUGAAGUGAGUAGUUUCUAUAAGAUGAUAUAAAAAAA
rnacentral:lncRNA from 1 species